UACGAAGGACCCGAGCGUUAUCCGGAUUUAUUGGGUUUAAAGGGUGCGUAGGCGGCUUAGUAAGUCAGUGGUGAAAGCCCGUCGCUUAACGGCGGAACUGCCAUUGAUACUGCUAGUCUUGAGUAUGGUUGAGGUGGGCGGAAUGUGUCAUGUAGCGGUGAAAUGCUUAGAUAUGACCCAGAACACCAAUUGCGAAGGCAGCUCGCUAAGCCAUAACUGACGCUGAUGCACGAAAGCGUGGGGAGCAAACAGG
rnacentral:rRNA from 1 species